rnacentral:rRNA from 1 species
AGUGAACGCUGGCGGUAGGCUUAACACAUGCAAGUCGAACGGCAGCACAGUAAGAGCUUGCUCUUAUGGGUGGCGAGUGGCGGACGGGUGAGGUAUAUAUCGGAAUCUACUUUUUCGUGGGGGAUAACGUAGGGAAACUUACGCUAAUACAGCAUACGACCUACGGGUGAAAGGAGGGGAUCUUUGGACCUUGCGCGGUUGAAUGAGCCGAUGUCGGAUUAGCUAGUUGGCGGGGUAAAGGCCCACCAAGGCGACGAUCCGUAGCUGGACUGAGAGGAUGAUCGGCCACACUGGAGCGGGAACACGGACCAGGCUCCUGCGGGAGGCCGCAGUGGCGAAUAUUGGGCAGUGGGCGCAAACCUGAUCCAGCCAUACCACGUGGGUGGAGAAGACCUUCGGGUUGUAAAGCCCUUUUGUUGGGAAAGAAAAGCAGCAGGUUAAUACCCCGCUGUUCUGACGGUACCCAAAAAAUAAGCACCGGCUAACUUCGUG